CUUCCUACUUAUUUCUUUGUUAGCAAUCAUUGAAAUUUAUUUAUUAAAUA
rnacentral:tRNA from 1 species